CCUACGGGGGGCAGCAGUGAGGAAUAUUGGUCAAUGGGCGCGAGCCUGAACCAGCCAAGUAGCGUGAAGGAUGACUGCCCUACGGGUUGUAAACUUCUUUUAUAAAGGAAUAAAGUGAGGCACGUGUGCCUUUUUGUAUGUCCUUUAUGAAUAAGGAUCGGCUAACUCCGUGCCAGCAGCCGCGGUAAUACGGAGGAUCCGAGCGUUAUCCGGAUUUAUUGGGUUUAAAGGGAGCGUAGAUGGGUUGUUAAGUCAGUUGUGAAAGUUUGCGGCUCAACCGUAAAAUUGCAAUUGAUACUGGCAGGCUUGAGUGCAGGUGAGGUAGGCGGAAUGCGUGGUGUAGCGGUGAAAUGCUUAGAUAUCACGAAGAACUCCGAUGGCGAAGGCAGCUUACUGGACUGCCACUGACGUUGAUGCUCGAAAGUGUGGGUAUCGAACAGGAUUAGAUACCCUUGUAGUC
rnacentral:rRNA from 1 species